UACUCUGGUUUCUCUUCAGAUUGUAUAAAUCUUUUGCCUUUUACUAAAGAUUUCCACGGAGAGGAGCAACUCUGGAGAAAAAAAAAGAAUUUACAUAAGGUUCCAUAACAGAU